rnacentral:rRNA from 1 species
UACACUCCUACGGGAGGCAGCAGUGGGGAAUUUUGGACAAUGGGCGAAAGCCUGAUCCAGCAAUGCCGCGUGAGUGAAGAAGGCCUUCGGGUUGUAAAGCUCUUUUGUCAGGGAAGAAACGGUGAGAGCUAAUAUCUCUUGCUAAUGACGGUACCUGAAGAAUAAGCACCGGCUAACUACGUGCCAGCAGCCGCGGUAAUACGUAGGGUGCAAGCGUUAAUCGGAAUUACUUGGCGUAAAGCGUGCGCAGGCGGUUUUGUAAGUCUGAUGUGAAAUCCCCGGGCUCAACCUGGGAAUUGCAUUGGAGACUGCAAGGCUAGAAUCUGGCAGAGGGGGGUAGAAUUCCACGUGUAGCAGUGAAAUGCGUAGAUAUGUGGAGGAACACCGAUGGCGAAGGCAGCCCCCUGGGUCAAGAUUGACGCUCAUGCACGAAAGCGUGGGGAGCAAACAGGAUUAGAUACCCCGGUAGUCCC